GUUUUAAUAGUUUAAUAUAAAAUAUUGAUUUUGUAAAUCAAAGAAAAAAUUUUUUUUAAAACU
rnacentral:tRNA from 1 species